UUUAAACAUUGAACAUAUGAUAUUAAGAAAUUAUUAUGAAUUUUUAGGUGGGAUAAUGGUAUUAUGGUUAACGUUUUUUAAGGAGGCCAUAUCUUUUAGGAACACAUGCUUAAAUCCUUUUGGGUCAAAUGGUGUGAUGUCUGGGAUUAGCUUCAAAAUAAUCCAGGUGAAAAAAGGUAGGCGUAAGGGCCUAAAUGAAAAAAGAUUGGUCCUAAGUUGACAAUUGUUCAUAAUAUUAUUCUACUUUUGUAUAUGUUUGAAAUUAUCCAUAAUAAAAUGUUUUUCACAAAAAAGAUGGUUUGUCACCACUGAGGAUAGCAAAUCAAGACAUAAUUACAAAAGAGGUAUUUGAAAAUGUCUCAAGCAAUAGCAGUAUCCUUAAGAUACAUGAACAGAUUCCCCAGGUGAAUACUUUGAAGGAAACAACACUCGUUUAGAUGUAUCGGUCAUGAUCUGUUUGAUUGUUUUGAAAUCAGUUUUUUGGGGUAGGUGUCCAGAAACUAUAAGAAACUCUACUGAGCAGCUUACUGCAGAGUUCAAUAAAAAGAUCCAGUCCCUGACCUUUUAACACAUGUGCAAGGGGGCUCUUAUUAUGUGUCAGACACUGUGUGAGGUGUGAAGAUGAGUACGGCGUGGAGGGGGAGGCGGAGAAGUGUGGCGGGAUCAGGUGUGGCUGCCAGUGACCAGAACUUCAAAAUAAAAAUGCCUUGACAAGAUAGCAGUUUAUGUCCCUCUCAUGAGAAUAGAGUCCAGGGCUGGAACGGCACCUCCAUGAUCACUGUCAACUGCUGACUCCCCAAAUACCACCAGAACAGCCUGCCAACGAACCAAAGCUAAGGUGAUGAAGCCAACUGCAGGAGGGGAGAGCGUGGCCUUGACCAGAGGCAGUCCGGAGACUCUCUUGGUGUGUCAUAAGGGGCAGGGCCAGGUGGGUAUUUCAGGGUUGCGGGGGUCUCAGCUCAAGGGUCCAAGGCAGGCCUCUCACGGCUGGGAUCUAAGAAGCACCGGGCCAAGUCUAUGAUGUAGUAGUUUAGGCCUGGUGGACACAAGGCUUGAAGCUUCAAAUCUUGAUGAGUGAACGGUUGUUUGAUAAACCAGCUGUUUGCCCCAGUGAGCCAUCUCUCAUCCUGAGAAGGAUCUUUUGUUAGAAGAAAUUCUUUUUCAUGAAUUUCCUGAAGCAAACAGUGAGGCUGUUUAUUGGUUUACAGUCGUAUCUUCCUGAACAAGAAUUUCCUAGACAAAUAGUAAGUCCUGUUGACACAGGAGGUCUUAGAUCUCAGUCUUGCUGGUUAAGCUGCAUGGAUGCGGGUGGUCUCACUUCUCAUCGUCAGGGACACAAGUUCCUCCCGCCUUGCUUCUCUGCCCUUGUCACACUGUAUCCUCCACCUCAGCCAGCAGUAGGAGGAAAAGGCCAAGAGGAUCCAAUGCCCUUCCUUGACCCACACUUCCCUGGGGGCUGAGUUUGUGCAUUCAGUGGUGUGUGUGUGACAAGCAGAGCAAAGGCUGGGGCUGGGGGAACGGCAGUGCUCCCGCGGAGACAACGCUGCUGCCCUUGUGUUCAACAGCAGAGCCUUUCUCUUCCUCAGACAGACUCUCUCUAAAGUCUCAUCAUGAGAGUAUUCUGAAACACCUUAGCCCCUAGCUUCACAAGCAUUUCUAUUAGUAAGCUCCUCAGCUGCCAUUGCCUCUCGUUUGAUGGAUGGAAGCCUUGACGGGUGCUGCGUAAAGGCCACUUAUCAGGCACCCUUGAGAUAGAGAGCAAGGAUUCCCAAGUCUUGGCUUCCACAGCAAGACACUCUGGUUCCUCAGAGCUGCUCAGCUGAGUGCCCACUGGGAACCUGAGUCUGAAGCUGCUGUCCUACGUGGCCGCCUCUGUCUGAUGUCAGGAUGUGAUAUCAACAGCCUGCUCACACCUGCCUGGGUGCUGACACUGGGGCCUGUUACAUCUUCCUCAACAGGAUUAACCUGAGCUGGAGAUACUGUUACUGAUGCCUCCAGACACCUCUUCUCCAUUGCUCUUAGUGUGGUAUUAGGAGUCAUCCCACGGAAAGCAUGAGAAGUUGGUGACACCAAGAGGAUUGGGGGUGUGGAUUAAAGGGGAGAGUCAUUGCAGGAAAGACAGUGGGAGGGCACUCUUCACGCUGCUGGCAGAAUUCUCUUCCAAAAUCACAAACUCACUCCUUCACUCAAGAACUACACUGAAGACAGAAUUCAAGUUUCCAAGCCUGUCACCCGAGGUCCUCUAUAAAUCUUGUCCCCAGCUUUCCUUUGUCCAAGAUGAUUUUAUUUCUAUCUUCACUUUAUAUGUUCAUUUAUUCAUUCCUUUGUUAAUUCAGCAGACAUUUAUUCAGCCCCUUAAUUUAUUCAGGCGCCAUAUUAAGCGUGGGCGUGUAGGAAGAGACAUCAUGUAAAAGAAGAUUUUCCUUCAAGUGAAAAUGCAGCCUGUUCAGUCUGUGGCCCUCCCGAAGCCUCUCCUUUCGCCUCUUCUUUUUCUAUAUGCCUUUGCACUUGGCAUCACCAUUACAAGACAUACUGCCUUAAAUGAGAAGGUAGAAGAAUCAGGUCUGUCUCUCCCAUAGAGUUGUAAGUUGCUUGGGUCCUGGGACCGUAGCCGCUCAUUUCUUCUACCUUUCACAGCGUUUGGC
ensembl:lncRNA